CAUAGGUUAAUGAGGCGAACCGGGGGAACUGAAACAUCUAAGUACCCCGAGGAAAAGAAAUCAACCGAGAUUCCCCCAGUAGCGGCGAGCGAACGGGGAGGAGCCCAGAGCCUGAAUCAGUGUGUGUGUUAGUGGAAGCGUCUGGAAAGGCGCGCGAUACAGGGUGACAGCCCCGUACACAAAAAUGCACAUACUGUGAGCUCGAUGAGUAGGGCGGGACACGUGGUAUCCUGUCUGAAUAUGGGGGGACCAUCCUCCAAGGCUAAAUACUCCUGACUGACCGAUAGUGAACCAGUACCGUGAGGGAAAGGCGAAAAGAACCCCGGCGAGGGGAGUGAAAAAGAACCUGAAACCGUGUACGUACAAGCAGUGGGAGCCUCUUAAUGGGGUGACUGCGUACCUUUUGUAUAAUGGGUCAGCGACUUAUAUUCUGUAGCAAGGUUAACCGAAUAGGGGAGCCGAAGGGAAACCGAGUCUUAACUGGGCGUUAAGUUGCAGGGUAUAGACCCGAAACCCGGUGAUCUAGCCAUGGGCAGGUUGAAGGUUGGGUAACACUAACUGGAGGACCGAACCGACUAAUGUUGAAAAAUUAGCGGAUGACUUGUGGCUGGGGGUGAAAGGCCAAUCAAACCGGGAGAUAGCUGGUUCUCCCCGAAAGCUAUUUAGGUAGCGCCUCGUGAAUUCAUCUCCGGGGGUAGAGCACUGUUUCGGCAAGGGGGUCAUCCCGACUUACCAACCCGAUGCAAACUGCGAAUACCGGAGAAUGUUAUCACGGGAGACACACGGCGGGUGCUAACGUCCGUCGUGAAGAGGGAAACAACCCAGACCGCCAGCUAAGGUCCCAAAGUCAUGGUUAAGUGGGAAACGAUGUGGGAAGGCCCAGACAGCCAGGAUGUUGGCUUAGAAGCAGCCAUCAUUUAAAGAAAGCGUAAUAGCUCACUGGUCGAGUCGGCCUGCGCGGAAGAUGUAACGGGGCUAAACCAUGCACCGAAGCUGCGGCAGCGACACUAUGUGUUGUUGGGUAGGGGAGCGUUCUGUAAGCCUGUGAAGGUGUACUGUGAGGUAUGCUGGAGGUAUCAGAAGUGCGAAUGCUGACAUAAGUAACGAUAAAGCGGGUGAAAAGCCCGCUCGCCGGAAGACCAAGGGUUCCUGUCCAACGUUAAUCGGGGCAGGGUGAGUCGACCCCUAAGGCGAGGCCGAAAGGCGUAGUCGAUGGGAAACAGGUUAAUAUUCCUGUACUUGGUGUUACUGCGAAGGGGGGACGGAGAAGGCUAUGUUGGCCGGGCGACGGUUGUCCCGGUUUAAGCGUGUAGGCUGGUUUUCCAGGCAAAUCCGGAAAAUCAAGGCUGAGGCGUGAUGACGAGGCACUACGGUGCUGAAGCGACAAAUGCCCUGCUUCCAGGAAAAGCCUCUAAGC
rnacentral:rRNA from 1 species